UUAGUUUUAUCCGAUGUCCCAAUUCUUCAGUUUGCUGUGGGUGGAGAUGUUCCAAGCCCUGUCUGCUUCACUGUCACCAGCUCUGAGUCCUGCUAUGUGGUCCUGGCUAGCAUGGAACUUACUAUAGCGGCCAAGCUUGCCUUGAACUCAUGGCCAUCGUCCUGCUUCAACCUUCCAAGUUUCUGGUACUAUAGAUGCAGCACCCAGCCUCAGUCUCUGCCAGUCGCUGUACUCUGCCAACCCAACGCCGUCUAUGACCUGUGUUACCAUCGUGGAG